UACACGAAAUGGACUCAGACACUCAUGGAAUAUUCCCUGUUUCCCAACUGCCUUAAAGCUAGGAGGAAUUGUGUGACUAGUUCUAACCUUGAAAUAUGAGCUGAAAGGACAGUGCCACUGUGGAGCCAAGGGAGGAGGUGAGCAUGAAGUCUCUCAGGAAAUGGGGGGCAAGAUUCCCCCAAACUAACGAGAGCAAAGAAAGGGCCUCAGGUGGGUGGGCCAGCAUCAGCCUGGGCAUGCAGCCUCACCUCUGAUUGACAGAAAGGGAGAGAGGGAAGAAAGGCAUUUCCCAUGGGGGCUGGAGCCCAGGUGCAGACACAGGGUGGCCUCACUGGGACACACUGGGCUGGGAAGUGGAGAGGACUAGCUGGGUCGCCACCGUCCAGUCUGAUGUCAAAGACCAGAGAAAGGUGUGAUGUGGUCUGCCACAAGGCAGAUUGGGUGACAGCAAAUUUUAGGAAUUCUUGUUUGUUGAGCAAAAGAAGCAGAACUGAAGAGUACAUGCUGAACAACUUGAUUACUUAUAUAAAGUACAAACCAGAUGAAACACACCUACCCCAUUAGGAUUCAGACUGGUGCUGACUCUUGGAGGGGGGCCCAGGGCCUGAGAGAGAACACCAGGGGACAGUUGGGGGCUUGCUGCUCUGGUUGUCUUUUGCUGAUUUCACAG
rnacentral:lncRNA from 1 species